AACAAUACUGUCAUAGACAUUUUAAGACCAUCUCUUAAAAUGUGGGGUUCCCCCCUGCAUUAUAGUUUGAUUUCUUCUUUCUUUUAAAGAUGUUAGUGCCAAGUGUUUUUAACUAGUAAUUAUAAGUAUUUUUUUUUUUCAUGAACUUUAUUUAUGUUCAAAACACUGGUCUGGUUUUUCUUGUAAAGUUGAUAAAAAUUGUUGAAUUUUUCUUUUUUACUGUAGGUUACCCUCCUUGGAAGUUUAGCCUGUUACUUUCAGGAAGUUUUGUACUCAGAUUCCCACAGUCAAUAUUCUGCCAGUGGUGGUAUUUCAUUUUGUUCAAAGAUAUAUAAAUUUUUCUUUUUCCUUUUCUGUAUUCCUUUUUUUUUUUUUUCCCCUUAGAGCCAUUGCUGCUGAGAUUGUUCUAAAGGGACAAAGAGAGGUCCAUCGUUCAUAUCAGAGAGCCUUACAGAAGUUACCUCUUUGUGCAUCACUGUGGAAAGAUCAACUCUUGUUUGAAGCAUCAGAAGGAGGUAAAACUGAUAACCUGAGAAAACUAGUUUCCAAGUGCCAAGAGAUUGGAGUCAGCCUAAAUGAGCUCUUAAAUUUAAACAGUAACAAAACAGAAAGCAAGAAUCACUGAACACUGGGUGCAGUCAGUUCUAAGUCCUUAUAAUAAUUGCCAAAAUUAUUUGAAUGAUUCUUCAAGAUUAGGCUGGUCCCUGGCUAAGGUCUGUGUAAGGCAGACAAGCAUUAUUGAUCAUAUCAAAUCCCGUACAAUAUCCUGUCCUCAAAACCGGAAGCAAUGAACAUGGUCCUCUUCGGUUGGAUAAAUGAACUUCCUGUUUGGCCUGCUUCUAGGCCCUGCCAGAUUCUCAUAACAUCAUGUACGUAAGUAUAGUUCCUCAAAGUGACUGACAUUUAUUUUGAUUUUGCUUUGUUUUUGUUUUUGUUUUUUUACUUUCCCCGUUCCUUUAUGUUGUGUUAUUCCUGAUUCACUUGACACUCUCUGAUGCCUGAGAGAUUCUUGUUUCCAGGGCUGUGUUUACAGUAAAAAAGCAGGCAGUCUUUUUUAGUUCUUCUUUUUAAAUCUUUUGAGAUUCUUCAUUUCAGGAUUUAAAACUUAAGCAGUCCAUCUUAAGGAAAGUGUAACUGCCAUGGCCACAAGUCUGCUAGUUGCACUUGAAUGUUCUAAGAGGGUUGUUUAUUGCCCUUUCUACGUUCUGGACUCCUUGACGAGACUGUUUAACUUGAAGAUUAAAGAAACUAUUGCAAAUGCCAGUGCAUCAGAACCUAAGAGUGGUCAAAUAUUAUGUGCAAUUUUUUUGUAAAGAAAUUUUAAUUUAUAAUAAAGUUUAACAGUUUAAAGAACAGUUAAUAUUUGAACUGCUUUGUAUUGAAAUACUACUUUGUAGUAAAAUUGUUUAUAUACAAAAUAUUUUUAAUAUAAGUUAACUUCUUAAAAAA